rnacentral:rRNA from 1 species
UACGUAGGGUCCGAGCGUUGUCCGGAAUUACUGGGCGCAAAGAGCUCGUAGGUGGUUUGUCGCGUUGUUCGUGAAAACUCACAGCUCAACUGUGGGCGUGCGGGCGAUACGGGCAGACUUGAGUACUGCAGGGGAGACUGGAAUUCCUGGUGUAGCGGUGGAAUGCGCAGAUAUCAGGAGGAACACCGGUGGCGAAGGCGGGUCUCUGGGCCGAUACUGACGCUGAGGAGCGAAAGCGUGGGGAGCGAACAGG